GACGAACGUUGGCGGCGUGCUUAAUACAUGCAAGUCAACUGAAGCAGUGGUAGCAAUAUCGCUGUGGAGGUGGCGCACGGGUGAGUAACACGUAGGUAAUCUGCCUUCAGGUCUGGCAUAACUCCGGGAAACCGGGGCUAAUAGCAGAUGAUGCAGCGGCUCGACAUCGAGACAGUUGUUAAAGCUAUGGCGCCUGAAGAUGAGCCUGCGUCUGAUUAGCUAGUUGGCGGGGUAACGGGCCACCAAGGCAACGAUCAGUCGCUGGUCCGAGAGGAUGAUCAGCCACACUGGAACUGAGACACGGUCCAGACUCGUACGGGAGGCAGCAGUAAGGAAUAUUGCUCAAUGGGAGAAAUCCUGAAGCAGCAACGCCGCGUGAGGGACGAAGGGCUUUUGCUUGUAAACCUCUGUAGUGAGAGAAAAAAAUCCCAAUCUUUGGGACAUGAUGGUAUCUCAAAAGUAAGCCCCGGCUAACUACGUG
rnacentral:rRNA from 1 species